UUUGUCCUGCAGCUGGAAUGCCAAGCCACAAAAGGGCAGUGAGAAAGCCAGGGCACCAGAAGGUAAUGGGGAGCAGGAUGUUUGAAGCCUCCGUGGGGCAAGAUUGCACCACCUUCUUCUGUGGACAAAUAGAUUCCAAAUCUCCUGGCUUCUGGUUCUUUGUGGCACACUUUAGCUCACUGACACAUGUUGCCGAAGGUGGUAUAACAGGCUGAAAGUGAACUGCCUUUGAGGUAUAACAUUGGACAAAAGAAAAACAACUGAGACCAGAGGAAAGAAGUUUCUGCUGUCUCCGAGGUCUUCCUUAAGAGUGAAUGAUGAACUGACCUUAUUUCUCAGAUCUGGAUGUAAACAUGCCAUCUUUCUACCUGCUGCAUCUGUGACCUCACCAUGCCCAGCAUAAGCUUAUGCUGACCCCAGAGUGUGGCAGUAUUAUUCCAACUCAGUGGUUUGAGAAGAGCUUCCUUUGAGGGUAUUCUAUCAAUGAUUCCAUCUUUCCACUACCCAGGAAGGUCCUUCUCCACCCCAACCUCUUCAUUCCUGAAAUAAAAG
rnacentral:lncRNA from 1 species